rnacentral:lncRNA from 1 species
UCAUGUAGCGCCAGCCACACCAGGAACAGAAGGGUGCCGGGUACCUUCCGCAUGCUUGGUAUUCUCCCCGCGGGGCUCUGACCGCUGCCGCUCUCAGGCACCUGUCUUUCCUCUCCGUCCCAGAAUGGAGCCAAGACAAGGGAAUAAACGAAAUUCAGUAGUACACGGAGAUCGGGUGUCUGGGCAGCGUCUUGGAAAAACUAUCCACUACAGUACAGGUCAAGUGAAGUUCUUCUGCUGAUAUGUUCUGCUACUGCAUAAGAGACGGAAUCUAUGUUGCCUCGACUGGUCCUGAACUCCUGGGCUAAAGCGAUCCUUCUGCCUUGGCCUCCCAAAGUGCGAGGAUUAUAGGUGUGAGCCACCCAACCUGGCCUUUGCCAGUAUUUUUAAAUCCAAACACCUAUGCAUGGUGCUUACUAAUAACACAGUGGUAUUCUAAACAUUUUUCACCUAUUAUUUAAUCUUUAUUAUUAUCACUAUGUUACAGAUAAGGACCCCUGGCUAAAUAGCUUACCCAACAUUACUCCGUUAAUA